AAUCAAAAAAGAUUCGAAUAAUGAUCCAAAUAUUUACAUAAUUAUCCAAGAAAAGGAUUUUAAUUUGAAAUUAUACAUAACAAUCCAAAAGUUCUGUUACAUCAAUUGAAUUUGAGGAAAAGUAGAAAACAUUGUAAAUCCAACCGUUUGAAGCAGCAAGCUUCAAAGACCUUGCCAAAGAAGCUCUUCUUGUAGCGCCCCCAAUUCCAAAAGCAAGUGCAAGCCCCCUUUUCAAUCAAUGUCCAUUCACCUUUUACAAACCUGCAAAACCAAUUCAAAAUUAAAAAAAGCUUAUCAAAUAAGCACUUAUAAAAAACUGAAAAAUAAUUAAUAGAACAAGCAGAUUAAUAUGUUGCACAGUAAACCAAGGUGAACGCUCAAGAACACGUUCCAAUGUCCAAAUCAAACCACCUUAAAUCCACAAGGUAAACAUCCCAAAAAAUUUGGAAAAAGGAUAACUUAACAAGUUAUCUCAGAACCUCAGUAUUCAUCACAUAUAUAACAACAACAAAUUAACAGUAAUAAGGACACGUUUUCGAAAUCCAAAAAUAAAUUAUCAAAAUAUUUUUCCGUAACAUAAACCCCUAAACAACAGAAACACAGUUUUUUGGUGGAGAGAAAUAAAAAAAGAGAAGUUAUCAAAAAUAUAUUUUAACAUCAAACCCUAACAUUCAAACCAAGCAACAACAACAUUCAAAACAAAAAAUAAAGGAAAACGAAAAAUAGAAGAAGACGGAGGAUUUAUCUUAAACGGUGGGGAGCGUCGCCGGAGUUUGACUUCAAACAUGUACGCCUUCCAUUCUCGUUCAUCUUUCUGCGCCAUCGUCUUCGCCUCUUCAUGUGGAUUGAAACCCCUUUCCUAAUUUCUUCAAAUCGUGACUUCAGAGGAGCGAAUGUCACAAAUUAGGGUUUAGGUUUUACUCUUUCUUUUGGUACCGAUCCGGAUGUUUGAGAGGGAGUUUGAAUAAAGGGAGGUCGGAUUUGAAAUCACCGGCCAAAAUAAGGUGGGGUAUGUGUUUUGUUUUUUAGGGUUAGGGUUGGGGGUCACCGGAGAAGAGGGCGGCGCCGCCACGGUUGACCGGCUGCCACCGUCUUCUCCGGCAGGUUUGGCCGUGAGGGGUGGUGACGGAAAGAGAAGAAGUUGCAGAGCAACUUUGUGGACGAAAGUGAAGAGAGAGAAUGGUUCUCUCUCUCUCUCUCUCUCAAGUUUUUG
rnacentral:lncRNA from 1 species